rnacentral:tRNA from 1 species
UCUUUAGUAGCUUAGGGGUUAAAGCACAUGGCUGUUAACCAUGGUUACAUUGGUUCGAAUCCAGUCUAAAGAG